rnacentral:rRNA from 1 species
GACGAACGCUGGCGGCGUGCUUAACACAUGCAAGUCGAACGGAAAGGCCCCUUUGGGGGUACUCGAGUGGCGAACGGGUGCGUAACACGUGAGUAACCUGCCCUUGACUUCGGGAUAACUUCAGGAAACUGGGGCUAAUACCGGAUAGGAAUCCUUGCUGCAUGGUGGGGGUUGGAAAGCUUCGGCGGUUUUGGAUGGACUCGCGGCUUAUCAGCUUGUUGGUGGGGUAGUGGCUUACCAAGGCUUUGACGGGUAGCCGGCCUGAGAGGGCGACCGGCCACAUUGGGACUGAGAUACGGCCCAGACUCCGACGGGAGGCAGCAGGGGGGAAGAUUGCACAAUGGGCGGAAGCCUGAUGCAGAAACGCCGCGUGCGGGAUGACGGCCUUCGGGUUGUAAACCGCUUUCAGCAGGGGCGAAGCUUGUGGUGACGGUACCUGCAGAAGAAGCACCGGCUAACUACGUG